UUGACGGUUUAGCCGAAGUCCAUAUGACUCUUUAUCUUUGUAUCUUCUAACAAGGAAACACCACUUAGGCCUUUACGAUAAGGUUGCGGUUUAAGUUCUUAUACUCAAUCAUACACAUGACAUCAAGUCAUAUUCGACUUCAAAAC
rnacentral:sRNA from 1 species